rnacentral:rRNA from 1 species
CUACGGGGGUCUGCAGUGGGGAAUAUUGGACAAUGGGCGAAAGCCUGAUCCAGCCAUGCCGCGUGUGUGAAGAAGGCCUUCGGGUUGUAAAGCACUUUCAGUGGGGAAGAAAGCCUUGGGGCUAAUACCCUCGAGGAAGGACAUCACCCACAGAAGAAGCACCGGCUAACUCCGUGCCAGCAGCCGCGGUAAUACGGAGGGUGCGAGCGUUAAUCGGAAUUACUGGGCGUAAAGCGCGCGUAGGCGGUCUGAUAAGCCGGUUGUGAAAGCCCCGGGCUCAACCUGGGAACGGCAUCCGGAACUGUCAGGCUAGAGUGCAGGAGAGGAAGGUAGAAUUCCCGGUGUAGCGGUGAAAUGCGUAGAGAUCGGGAGGAAUACCAGUGGCGAAGGCGGCCUUCUGGACUGACACUGACGCUGAGGUGCGAAAGCGUGGGUAGCAAACAGGAUUAGAUACCCCGGUAGUC